ACUGGUAGGCUUGGGACCGGGAGAGGUGGGAGGUACUCCAGGGGUAGGGGUGAAAUCUCGUAAUCCUUGGGGGACCACCGAUGGCGAAGGCAUCCCACCAGAACGGGUCCGACGGUGAGGGACGAAAGCCGGGGGCACGAACCGGAUUAGAUACCCGGGUAGUCCCAGCCGUAAACGAUGCUCGCUAGGUGUCAGGUGCGGUGCGACCGCAU
rnacentral:rRNA from 1 species